CUCAUGCAACUUGUGCUUCGGCAAUGGAGGAUGCAGUCUAUGUGUUUGAUGGUUUGCCUCUGCAGCACCGACCAAUUAACCAUGCUAGAUUUAGCUAACAGGGACUCCUAUUUGACGGAAAAAAAGACACAUUCAGGCUACUUGCCUUGUCUAAGAUAAUGUUUCUAGGUCGGAUAUGAUUUUUAUUUUUUAAGCAAUAAUUUAAGCAAGUUAAAUGUACCUGGGAUAUGAUGCUCCUUUGUUGGUCUCACAUAAAAAAAAUCCGACAAAAUAACACGUUUGCAUUAAUAAAAUAACAACCGUUGUUUAUCCUUCGCAAUUAAGCUCAUCAUAUGUUUUUUGUGGCAAGAUCUUACCUGAUGUAACCAUACUUUAUUUCAUAUAUAGAGAUAGAGAUUUUUCUAGCCAAGAUUUAUACCACCAGCUGUAGCUGAGGAGGGCUCGUGCUUAUAAAGAUUGGUAUUUGCACAUUCGGGUAUCUUUUAGACAAUUGGUUCAAUGGAACUAUGCAAAACUCACCACAGUAAGGGAUGUAUUUUUCAUUUCAACAAAAGUAUUUCACAUUGUUUUUCCCAAAUGCGUAAUUAUGGCGGAAGAUAAGGGAAAAGAGAGGUUGUUGAUAAGCUCCUUCAGUUUGUAGGAAAUCAAUAUUUAUGUAAACCUUUAUUAGCUAUUCACACAAUUGAUUUAACUAUCCACUCUGAUUUUGACUUGCUUACUUACAUUUAUUUUCUUAGUCCUUGUUUCAUGGCCAGGGAGAUACUAUUUGUGGUACUGAUUAAAAGUAGAAAGUUUCUUCUUUUGCUAAGCUUAUUGUGAUAUGGUGAAAUGUUCCAUUUGCAUAAUGGAACAGAACAUACUUGAGAUGGCUAAGCUUGUUUAUGAACCUCAAAGUUCAGAAUUACAAAUCUAUUGUCUACGGCAAAAUUACAGAUAGGUUCAUAAUCUUCAGUCUUGAGCUCCCUACCAACAUCUAAUUAUGAAAUUUUUAUACGUCAAAAAGAUAUGAAUAUUUCAAUAUUCUGGAGUCUGAAUUUACAAACUUUUCUGUACACUACUUCCAUGAAUAAUGCACAUUAGGAUUAUAUAAAUUUUGCAGGCUACCAGUACACAUCUUCGGUGUGAUCAGUGCAACAAUGCUUGCUCUUCUGCUUGUUAGGUGAUGUCCUAUCGCUUGUGUGCCCUCCCAAAUCAUAAUUUCAAUUUUCUUAUCUGUCAAUGUUGUUAAUUAAUUACUUCAAUAUGCAUCAGCAAACCAUCGCUCUGAAUUGAUUUAGUGAAGUUAAGUGGCCACAUGCUCUUAAUCUUUGUAGCCAACUAUAGCUUUUAGUAAGGUAUGUGCACUGUACACACUAUACAAACCUUGUGCCACUACUUCCGUUCUACCAAUUACCAUGUAGCUUACCUUUUUAGAUCUGUAAAUUACUGCAGAAACUAGCCGACGAUCCUCACUGUAAAUAGAAUGACAGAAUGAUAGACCUCUUCAUGUUACCAGCACAUUUGCGUUUUGCUUUUCAGUGCUUUUCAGAAGACCAUAUAUGUAUCACUUUGUGGCUAUAUAUUUGCAUUGUAAAUAAACCACUGUUAUCAUCAGGAACAAUGAGCCAUUUAUUAGGCAACACUCAACAUUGUUUGAACGCAGAGAAAAGAGGACAAGCCGCCCAAUGGGUGUCAGCCAUGCCCAGUCAGCUUUAGUUGUCCUGCCUACCUCCUACCACCUGCAUAUAGACGUACCACCACCCAUCCAUCUGAAAUCUUUUUUCAGCCUCCUGUCUCUGC